rnacentral:lncRNA from 1 species
CGUGUGCGGUCCCUCCCCCUCACGUUCUCUCUUCCUCUGCUCCGCCAUGAUGAGAAGCGCCUGCUUCCCCUUCCCCUUCCGCCAUGAUUGUGUUUCCUGAGACCUCCCAGCCACGCUUCCUGUACAGCCUGCAGAACUAACCUGUGGCAUAUUCCUUGGAGUAUCUCCAGGUUGAGAAUUCAUGAUCCGCUUGGAAUGGGUUUAGAUCUCGGAAUGAGCUGUCAUCCCGGCCCAGCCAGGUAGCUCAGGAAGCUGCAAGACCUUCCUCCAAGGAACCUGCUGCCAACUCGCCUGGCACAGACAUCCUGACAUGACACCACUGCUCAUUCCCCACUGGCACAGGACCGGCCAUCUCCUCCAAGCCUGAGCUGCCUGUACAGCAUCCCAAGCUCUGGGCGCACCUGGGGCAGCCGUGGCAGGAACGCCGUGGGAUCUGCUGAGUCCUACGAGGCUGCAGUGGGACCGAGUGGGAACCAUGGCCCAUGCAGAACUGCUUCUCCCUUGAAGAAGAAACACAGGCUAUUGGCUCAGCUGUAAAAGGCAAACACAGGCUAUUGGCUCAGCUGUAAAAGGAGAUCACGGCAUCCGCUUGGAUGGGGAGUUGGUGCCAGCUUUCCUGCUACAAGAAAAUUCAAUCCCAACUGCUACCCAGACCCGCUGUGUCUGCACCACAGCAGUGGGGACCGAGGGCAUGCCUGCCAUGCCAAUCCCGCAGAGGACUUUGCUGCAGCGAGACAGCCCCUUUCUCCCUCCAUGAUAGAGUUUAGAAGCCUCCUCCUCUUGCUGCCACCGUGGGUAUUUAGGUGAGCAGCUGUAGUUGCCGGGGAGGCCUGAGCACAACACUUAACGCUGCUCCUGCAGUUUCAUGGGCCAUUAACAAUUUGCUAAUAUUGUUUUAGCUUGCAAAUUAGUGCAGCUCCGUGGGUAAGGAAAGGCUCUGUGGCUGUCAUCAAUCAGAUGGAAAUUCUCCAUGCAUGAGAUGAAAAACGAUUUCUAGCCUUUGAGGCUCAGACGGCAAUUACUGUAACCAAAAAAAAUGGGUGGUGGGGAGCCGGGGGGAAGAGAGCUCCUUGCAAAGUCUGUUAGCAAUUCUAUGAACUUUAUUUCUUGAUGCACGAGAGUGAAACUAUGAGGAUUUCCAGCCAAGGGAACUUGAUUUUCUUAGUUACUAAUAAAGUGACAAUCUAAAGGAGCCCUCUCCAACUGACCUGCUCCCAGAAGGUGGGGAGAGAGGAUGUCCGUGUGGCAAGAAGGAUGACAAAGCUGUGAGGACCUGGUGACUGUCUUUGCUGAGCUCCCAACUGGUGACGCUCACCAGGAGGAUGCCACAGAUGGCUCUGCCAAAAGUGCAGACAAACCUUGGCCUUGUUUGUUGGAAACCAUGUUGCUUAUCCCCCAUCCCUCCCACCUUUAAGCACCAACAUUUUUUCCUUUUAAAUAUUGAUACGAGACUGGGCUGGGCAUGGUGGCUCAUGCCUGUAGUUCUAAUGCUUUGGAAAUCUGAGGCAGGAGAAUCACUUGAUCUCCAGUUCUAGACCAGCCUGGGCAGUAUAGUGAGAACCCCAUCUCUACAAAAACAUUUCAAAAAUUAGCUGGGUGUGGUAGUAUGCACUGUGGUCCCAGCUGCUUGGGAGGCUGAGGCAGGAGGAUCACUUGAGCCCAGGAGAUCAAGGCUGCUGUGAGCCAUGAACGCCCCUCUGCACUCCAGCCUGGGCAACAGAGUGAGACCCUGUCUCUUAAAAUAAAAGUGAGACUGUUAUG